GACGAACGCUGGCGGCGUGCCUAAUACAUGCAAGUAGAACGCUGAAGGAGGAGCUUGCUUCUCUGGAUGAGUUGCGAACGGGUGAGUAACGCGUAGGUAACCUGCCUGGUAGCGGGGGAUAACUAUUGGAAACGAUAGCUAAUACCGCAUAAGAGUAGAUGUUGCAUGACAUUUGCUUAAAAGGUGCAAUUGCAUCACUACCAGAUGGACCUGCGUUGUAUUAGCUAGUUGGUGGGGUAACGGCUUACCAAGGCGACGAUACAUAGCCGACCUGAGAGGGUGAUCGGCCACACUGGGACCGAGACACGGCCCAGACUCCUACGGGAGGCAGCAGUAGGGAAUCUUCGGCAAUGGACGGAAGUCUGACCGAGCAACGCCGCGUGAGUGAAGAAGGGUUUCGGAUCGUAAAGCUCUGUUGUAAGAGAAGAACGAGUGUGAGAGUGGAAAGUUCACACUGUGACGGUAUCUUACCAGAAAGGGACGGCUAACUACGUG
rnacentral:rRNA from 1 species